GGUAGUGCAGAUCUUGGUGGUAGUAGCAAGUACUCUGGUGAACCAACCUGGAGCUGUGAGGUCUGGAUCAGGGUUCCAUGUCAACAGUGAUUGAACAUGGGUGAGUCGAUCCUAAGCCAACUGUGAAAGCAGUGACAUCCCGACAAAGGGGCGGUACAUGCGUAGCACUUACACCCCCAGUAUGAAAGCUCUCGAGUAUCUCUCUCACACACAAGCGCACUGUCUGGCUGGUAUGGCAUAAGAAAGCGCACACACACUGUGAUCACUACAAACACGUGUGAGUGUGUGUGCGCGCAGGUCUGGUUACGCUCACGUAAGCGUUGUUGCUCUCUGUCUGGUAAUACAAGGAAGGAAGGAACGAAAGAGAGAGAAAUUGAGUGAUCAGGGUGAGCGUGAGAUUUGCACUUGCAUGAUCCUUCUGCGUCUGGUUCUAUGUCUGGCGAAAGGGAAUGGGGACUUUGUUCCUUGACCGGUCCCGGCACCCUCGAUUGGCUUUGCCAAUUAAUGGUCCAUGCAAAUGGAACCAGGCCACAGCCGCCGGCAGUCGCCCGAGGAAGAGUUUUCUUUUCUGCUUAACGCACGAGGUCAUCCCUGGAAACAGUUCGGCUGGCGAAAGGGUGCCCCGUUGCGGCAGAGCGCCACGACUGUCGUGCGCGUCUCGGUGUUCCUGCCGGUCCGUGAAGACGUGGUCGAGGGGAUUGCUCUUGUAUCAACGAAACGCCCGACAAGUUCGGGACGGACCGUACCCUAUAUCCGCAUCUGGUCUCCAAGGUUCGUAGCCUCUGCAGAGUCAGACACAUGUAGGUAAGGGAAGUCGGCAAACUCGAUCCGUAACUUCGGGAAAAGGAUUGGCUCUGAGGGC
rnacentral:rRNA from 1 species